GGGUGCGAUCAUACAGGCGUUAAUGCACUGGAUCCCAUCAGAACACUCCAGAGUUAAGCGCGCUUGGGCUAGAGUAGUACUGGGAUGGGUGACCUCCCGGGAAGUCCUAGUGUUGCACCCU
rnacentral:rRNA from 1 species